GUAUUGUAUUGCGUUAAACGCUAUAUAACAUGCCAUGAGACUUUAUAACGGUGUGUGUGUAAAGACAUAGAACCACAGCAGGAGGACAGUGUCCCCCAUACCAUGGAACUACAGAGGAUGCACAGGUGUGAGUGGAUGUGUAAACAGAGUGUGCACAUGCCCCCGUUUGAGGACCAGCAACAACUCGUGUUGACAGUUCAGUAAUGAUCCUUCCGCAGGUUCACCUACGGAAA
rnacentral:misc_RNA from 1 species